UGGAUGCCCUGGCAGUCAGAGGCGAUGAAGGGCGUACUAAUCUGCGAUAAGCGCCGGUAAGGUGAUAUGAACCGUUAUAACCGGCGAUACCCGAAUGGGGAAACCCAGUGUGAUUCGUCACACUAUCAUUAACUGAAUCCAUAGGUUAAUGAGGCGAACCGGGGGAACUGAAACAUCUAAGUACCCCGAGGAAAAGAAAUCAACCGAGAUUCCCCCAGUAGCGGCGAGCGAACGGGGAGGAGCCCAGAGCCUGAAUCAGCAUGUGUGUUAGUGGAAGCGUCUGGAAAGGCGCGCGAUACAGGGUGACAGCCCCGUACACAAAAGCGCAUGUGCUGUGAGCUCGAUGAGUAGGGCGGGACACGUGGUAUCCUGUCUGAAUAUGGGGGGACCAUCCUCCAAGGCUAAAUACUCCUGACUGACCGAUAGUGAACCAGUACCGUGAGGGAAAGGCGAAAAGAACCCCGGCGAGGGGAGUGAAAAAGAACCUGAAACCGUGUACGUACAAGCAGUGGGAGCACCCUUUGGGUGUGACUGCGUACCUUUUGUAUAAUGGGUCAGCGACUUAUAUUCUGUAGCAAGGUUAACCGAAUAGGGGAGCCGGAGGGAAACCGAGUCUUAAUUGGGCGUUAAGUUGCAGGGUAUAGACCCGAAACCCGGUGAUCUAGCCAUGGGCAGGUUGAAGGUUGGGUAACACUAACUGGAGGACCGAACCGACUAAUGUUGAAAAAUUAGCGGAUGACCUGUGGCUGGGGGUGAAAGGCCAAUCAAACCGGGAGAUAGCUGGUUCUCCCCGAAAGCUAUUUAGGUAGCGCCUCGUGAAUUCAUCUCCGGGGGUAGAGCACUGUUUCGGCUAGGGGGCCAUCCCGGCUUACCAACCCGAUGCAAACUGCGAAUACCGGAGAAUGUUAUCACGGGAGACACACGGCGGGUGCUAACGUCCGUCGUGAAGAGGGAAACAACCCAGACCGCCAGCUAAGGUCCCAAAGUCAUGGUUAAGUGGGAAACGAUGUGGGAAGGCCCAGACAGCCAGGAUGUUGGCUUAGAAGCAGCCAUCAUUUAAAGAAAGCGUAAUAGCUCACUGGUCGAGUCGGCCUGCGCGGAAGAUGUAACGGGGCUAAACCAUGCACCGAAGCUGCGGCAGCGACACUGUGUGUUGUUGGGUAGGGGAGCGUUCUGUAAGCCUGUGAAGGUGUGUCGUGAGGCAUGCUGGAGGUAUCAGAAGUGCGAAUGCUGACAUAAGUAACGAUAAAGCGGGUGAAAAGCCCGCUCGCCGGAAGACCAAGGGUUCCUGUCCAACGUUAAUCGGGGCAGGGUGAGUCGACCCCUAAGGCGAGGCCGAAAGGCGUAGUCGAUGGGAAACGGGUUAAUAUUCCCGUACUUGGUGUUACUGCGAAGGGGGGACGGAGAAGGCUAUGUUGGCCGGGCGACGGUUGUCCCGGUUUAAGCGUGUAGGUGUGUGUUCCAGGUAAAUCCGGUUCACUUUAACACUGAGGCGUGACGACGAGGCACUACGGUGCUGAAGCAACAAAUGCCCUGCUUCCAGGAAAAGCCUCUAAGCAUCAGGUAACAUCAAAUCGUACCCCAAACCGACACAGGUGGUCAGGUAGAGAAUACCAAGGCGCUUGAGAGAACUCGGGUGAAGGAACUAGGCAAAAUGGUGCCGUAACUUCGGGAGAAGGCACGCUGACACGUAGGUGAAGUGAUUUACUCAUGGAGCUGAAGUCAGUCGAAGAUACCAGCUGGCUGCAACUGUUUAUUAAAAACACAGCACUGUGCAAACACGAAAGUGGACGUAUACGGUGUGACGCCUGCCCGGUGCCGGAAGGUUAAUUGAUGGGGUCAGCGCAAGCGAAGCUCCUGAUCGAAGCCCCGGUAAACGGCGGCCGUAACUAUAACGGUCCUAAGGUAGCGAAAUUCCUUGUCGGGUAAGUUCCGACCUGCACGAAUGGCGUAAUGAUGGCCAGGCUGUCUCCACCCGAGACUCAGUGAAAUUGAACUCGCUGUGAAGAUGCAGUGUACCCGCGGCAAGACGGAAAGACCCCGUGAACCUUUACUAUAGCUUGACACUGAACAUUGAGCCUUGAUGUGUAGGAUAGGUGGGAGGCUUUGAAGUGUGGACGCCAGUCUGCAUGGAGCCGACCUUGAAAUACCACCCUUUAAUGUUUGAUGUUCUAACGUGGACCCGUUACCCGGGUUGCGGACAGUGUCUGGUGGGUAGUUUGACUGGGGCGGUCUCCUCCUAAAGAGUAACGGAGGAGCACGAAGGUUGGCUAAUCCUGGUCGGACAUCAGGAGGUUAGUGCAAUGGCAUAAGCCAGCUUGACUGCGAGCGUGACGGCGCGAGCAGGUGCGAAAGCAGGUCAUAGUGAUCCGGUGGUUCUGAAUGGAAGGGCCAUCGCUCAACGGAUAAAAGGUACUCCGGGGAUAACAGGCUGAUACCGCCCAAGAGUUCAUAUCGACGGCGGUGUUUGGCACCUCGAUGUCGGCUCAUCACAUCCUGGGGCUGAAGUAGGUCCCAAGGGUAUGGCUGUUCGCCAUUUAAAGUGGUACGCGAGCUGGGUUUAGAACGUCGUGAGACAGUUCGGUCCCUAUCUGCCGUGGGCGCUGGAGAACUGAGGGGGGCUGCUCCUAGUACGAGAGGACCGGAGUGGACGCAUCACUGGUGUUCGGGUUGUCAUGCCAAUGGCACUGCCCGGUAGCUAAAUGCGGAAGAGAUAAGUGCUGAAAGCAUCUAAGCACGAAACUUGCCCCGA
rnacentral:rRNA from 1 species